CACAAUUGCAAAAACACUCCUGCAGUUCAAACUGCUCAAAAUCUGUCACUGCAUACCGGUACACGGGCCCGCGUACCGGUACACCUCCCACGAAAACGCCAAACUCAAGCCUCGGGUUGGCUCAAAACUGCCUGUGUAUCGGUACACCAUCGGCCCCAUACCAGUACAGCCAUCAACCUUGUACCGGUACAGCCAUCAACCCUGUACCGGUAC
rnacentral:lncRNA from 1 species